AGAUAUCUGCGAUGUUCGCCGAGUGUUUAAUAGUGUUGACCGAACAAAUCAUUACACAUUGGGAAUCUAAGUAUCGCUAUGGGAAAACAUGCCUUUUCUCUUGGUAGUUUGAUCUAGUAAUCAGGAUUCCCACCUGCAUAUACAGCGGGUUCAACCUCACAACACUCAUAACGGCAUCUGCGGAUAUUCU
rnacentral:other from 1 species